AAGGCUGGGGUCGUGGUUGUUGGGGGCAGCAGGCUGGCGACUGUGGGCUCUGGGACAUCAGAUCACUUGCUGCUGUGCCAUGAGGACCUUGGAAGGGAAAGCCAAGCCCCACAAAAACUUUAAGGGAAGACUCCUAUGUCAACUGAAUAUGUUUUGCCAGCUUGCGUAACAAGAUCUCUCUCUAGGUCUUUGGGGGUAUUCCAUGUAUUCUCCAGGGAAAGUCCAGGCUGUAUGUGUGUCUACACUGCUGUCCCCUCCAGCUUUGUACAAACAGAUCAUCUCCAGAGUUUUAGGAACCCUGGUGCCCACCAUGCAGGGACUUCCUGGGUGGUGCAGUGGUUAAGAAUCCACCUGCCGAUACAGGGGACAUGGGUUCGAUCCCUGCUCCAGGAAGAUCCCACAUGCCAUGGAGCAACUAAGCCUGUGUGCCACAACUACUGAGCCUGUUCUCUAGAGCCCAUAAGCCACAACUAUUGAGCCUGUGUGCCACAACUACUGAAGCCUGUGAACCUAGAGCCCAUGCUCUGCAACAAAAGAAGCCACCGCAAUGAGGAGCCCAUGAACCACAAUGAAAAGUACCCCCUGCUCACCGCAACUAGAGAAAUCCUAUUCACAACAAUGAAGACCCAACACAGCGAAUAAAUAAACAAAUUUAUUUAUUUAAAAAACAUUGUGUUCUAGUUCUGUGAAAAAUGCCAUUGGUAAUUUGAUAGAGAUUGCAUUGAAUCUGUAGGUUGCUUUGGGUAGUAUAUUCAUUUUGACAAUAUUGAUUCUUCCAAUUCAAGAACAUGGUAUAUCCCUACAUCUGUUUGUGUCAUCUUUGAUUUCUUUCAUCAGUAUCUUAUAGUUUUCUGAGUGCAGGUCUUUUGCCUCCUUAGGUAGGUUUGUUCCUAGGUAUUUUAUUUUUUUUGAUGCAAAUGGUAAG